CUCAGGAUGAACGCUAGCGGCAGGCUUAACACAUGCAAGUCGAGGGGUAUANUUCUUCGGACAUAGAGACCGGCGCACGGGUGCGUAACGCGUAUGCAAUCUACCUUUUACAGAGGGAUAGCCCAGAGAAAUUUGGAUUAAUACCUCAUAGUAUAGCUGUACCGCAUGGUACUACUAUUAAAGUCACAACGGUAAAAGAUGAGCAUGCGUCCCAUUAGCUAGUUGGUAAGGUAACGGCUUACCAAGGCUACGAUGGGUAGGGGUCCUGAGAGGGAGAUCCCCCACACUGGUACUGAGACACGGACCAGACUCCUACGGGAGGCAGCAGUGAGGAAUAUUGGACAAUGGGCGCAAGCCUGAUCCAGCCAUGCCGCGUGCAGGAUGACGGUCCUAUGGAUUGUAAACUGCUUUUAUACGAGAAGAAACACUACUUCGUGAAGUAGCUUGACGGUAUCGUAAGAAUAAGGAUC
rnacentral:rRNA from 1 species